rnacentral:rRNA from 1 species
CCUGCCCAAGAGAUCGGGAUAACACCUGGAAACAGAUGCUAAUACCGGAUAACAACAGAUGAUGCCUAUCAACUGUUUAAAAGAUGGUUCUGCUAUCACUCUUGGAUGGACCUGCGGUGCAUUAGCUAGUUGGUAGGGUAACGGCCUACAAAGGCGAUGAUGCAUAGCCGAGUUGAGAGACUGAUCGGCCACAUUGGGACUGAGACACGGCCCAAACUCCUACGGGAGGCAGCAGAG